rnacentral:rRNA from 1 species
UGAUAUGAACCGUUAUAACCGGCGAUUUCCGAAUGGGGAAACCCAGUGUGAUUCGUCACACUAUCAUUAACUGAAUCCAUAGGUUAAUGAGGCGAACCGGGGGAACUGAAACAUCUAAGUACCCCGAGGAAAAGAAAUCAACCGAGAUUCCCCCAGUAGCGGCGAGCGAACGGGGAGGAGCCCAGAGCCUGAAUCAGUGUGUGUGUUAGUGGAAGCGUCUGGAAAGGCGCGCGAUACAGGGUGACAGCCCCGUACACAAAAAUGCACAUGCUGUGAGCUCGAUGAGUAGGGCGGGACACGUGGUAUCCUGUCUGAAUAUGGGGGGACCAUCCUCCAAGGCUAAAUACUCCUGACUGACCGAUAGUGAACCAGUACCGUGAGGGAAAGGCGAAAAGAACCCCGGCGAGGGGAGUGAAAAAGAACCUGAAACCGUGUACGUACAAGCAGUGGGAGCACGCUUAGGCGUGUGACUGCGUACCUUUUGUAUAAUGGGUCAGCGACUUAUAUUCUGUAGCAAGGUUAACCGAAUAGGGGAGCCGAAGGGAAACCGAGUCUUAACUGGGCGUUAAGUUGCAGGGUAUAGACCCGAAACCCGGUGAUCUAGCCAUGGGCAGGUUGAAGGUUGGGUAACACUAACUGGAGGACCGAACCGACUAAUGUUGAAAAAUUAGCGGAUGACUUGUGGCUGGGGGUGAAAGGCCAAUCAAACCGGGAGAUAGCUGGUUCUCCCCGAAAGCUAUUUAGGUAGCGCCUCGUGAAUUCAUCUCCGGGGGUAGAGCACUGUUUCGGCAAGGGGGUCAUCCCGACUUACCAACCCGAUGCAAACUGCGAAUACCGGAGAAUGUUAUCACGGGAGACA